UAUAACUUGGAAGAAAAGUGUUUGCCUCCCAUGCAAGAGGCCCUGAGUUCAAUUCCCAGUA
rnacentral:tRNA from 1 species